rnacentral:rRNA from 1 species
UACGUAGGGUGCAAGCGUUGUCCGGAAUUAUUGGGCGUAAAGAGCUCGUAGGCGGUCUGUCGCGUCUGGUGUGAAAACUCAGGGCUUAACCCUGAGCUUGCAGUGGGUACGGGCAGACUAGAGUGCGGUAGGGGAGACUGGAAUUCCUGGUGUAGCGGUGAAAUGCGCAGAUAAUCAGGAGGAACACCGGUGGCGGAAGGCGGAUCUCUGGGCCAUUACUGACGCUGAGGAGCGAAAGCGUGGGGAGCGAACAGG